CAGAAAGGGAAAGGAGAGGAGUAAAGAGGAAAAGAGAACAGUGGUGGGUGCCUAUAAAGAGCCACACACCUUGCUGCAUGCUCUAUAUGUGGGCUAUUGUUUGUUCUCACAAUGAAUCUGAGUAGUAGAUAUAGCAUGCCCAUUUUCCAGGUAAUUGCUGAAGGAUUUUUGCUUCAAACAGGCUCUUGUUUGCAUCAAGUGUGGGGUGCAGCAAAGUGGACUCGGGACUGGCCGAUGUCUGGCCAGAAAUGCCAGGCAAGGGAAACAGUGACUCUAGUGGGGUCAGGAGAGGGGCAUCUGCUGGCCCAGGAGCGCAAGGCAGAGGGACUUCAUUGUCCCCCUUAUAGGUGAGGCGACUCUGAGGCAGGAGGUCCAAGUUUGCUGGACAAUGGCAGAAACAGAAUUCAAACACCUGUCUUCUAGGAGAAGUUCUGGUCUCUCCUCGGUGCUGCGGCUGCCCCGGG
rnacentral:lncRNA from 10 species